rnacentral:rRNA from 1 species
UACGGGGGGGGCAAGCGUUGUUCGGAAUUACUGGGCGUAAAGGGCUCGUAGGCGGCCAACUAAGUCAGACGUGAAAUCCCUCGGCUUAACCGGGGAACUGCGUCUGAUACUGGAUGGCUUGAGUUUGGGAGAGGGAUGCGGAAUUCCAGGUGUAGCGGUGAAAUGCGUAGAUAUCUGGAGGAACACCGGUGGCGAAGGCGGCAUCCUGGACCAACACUGACGCUGAUGAGCGAAAGCCAGGGGAGCUAACGGG